CAAAGGCAUCAUAGUACUUCUUGUAGUCACCUGCAGCACGAAUGGCUGAAAUACCAGGUGUUCUCUAUGAAAAGAAGGGAAAUAAUAGUAGUAUUAUAAUGAUAUACUAAAAUAUAAGCAAGUUUCAAGUGCAGAAGAGUCUCUAUACAGUCACUUGGCCUGUUAAAAAUAGCAGCUUAAUCUCUCUCAGUUCACACUACUGCUUUACAAAGAUAUAUAACUCAAUUGUGUUACAGAAAUGAGAUCCAAUUUUAAAUAACAAUGGAAGGAGUUUAUUUAUAAGUGAUUCACCAACCAGAACAAAGACUGAUAUGAUAUUUAGCAAUUGGAAGGGUACAUGCUCAAUUAAUGGCGAGCUUUGUUCUGGUUGCCCAGUUGCCCAGGACGUUUUGAACAUAUGAUCUGAAUAUAGAAAACUUUAAUAUUUUAUCGCAUAAAAUUGAUUUCUUUUGCAUAAAAGCUUUUACUUUUUGUUAGCAUAAGUUAUUUGUUAGCAUAACUUACUUAAUGCUUUGCAAAAUUGUUUAAUCUGUUUUGACUGAAAGGAGGCAUUUUUUUCUUUCGCAAUGAAAACAUACUUACAAUGCCAACAGUAAACUUCACUAGUCUCUUUACAAUAAAAGGAUAUUUCAAUACAUUGUUAAUUGAAGGACGCUCACUGGAAUUCAAAGAAAGUACAAUAAAAUUAACAUUUCAAAAAAUAAUUUAAUAUUUAAUAAACAAACAGGAAUGUGAUACCAGAGAAUCAAAAGACCUAAUGUGCAGCAAUGUAAAAGUGCAAACAAUAUACAAUACAUUUAAUUCAAUGCUCUCUCACAUUUGUCACCUUCCCUGCUUUAAAUGACUUUAAAAAUGGAGAAGAUAUUUUACUUACAUUGCUGAGCGUUUCAGCAUCACAGAAAUUAAGUCCCUGAGAUUGGAUGAAUACUUUGCAGGGACUGGUGGAUAUCUGCCACUGUAAGUGAACACAAUAAAAUUUUUAAAAACUGUGCCUAGAGUUAAAUUUAAUUAUAAUUAAGCAAAAUACACUUAGAAUAAUACGUCUGUGCAAGCACUAUUGAACAGAUCGUGUCCGCACUGUAUAUUCAGUUUCAUCAUCAUCAUUGUUUAACGUCCGCUUUUCAUGCUAGCAUGGGUUGGACGAUUUGACUGAGGACUGGUGAAACCGGAUGGCAACACCAGGCUCAAAUCUGAUUUGGCAGAGUUUCUAUAGCUGGAUGCCCUUCCUAACGCCAACCACUCAGAGAGUGUAGUGGGUGCUUUUAUGUGCCACCGGCACGAAGGCCAGUCAGGAGGUACUGGC